GGCGAAAGCCUGAUGCAGCAACGCCGCGUGAGCGAUGAAGGCCUUCGGGUCGUAAAGCUCUGUCCUCAAGGAAGAUAAUGACGGUACUUGAGGAGGAAGCCCCGGCUAACUACGUGCCAGCAGCCGCGGUAAUACGUAGGGGGCUAGCGUUAUCCGGAAAUACUGGGCGUAAAGGGUGCGUAGGCGGUCUUUCAAGCCAGAAGUGAAAGGCUACGGCUCAACCGUAGUAAGCUUUUGGAACUGUAGGACUUGUGUGCAGGAGAGGAGAGUGGAAUUCCUAGUGUAGCGGUGAAAUGCGUAGAUAUUAGGAGGAACACCAGUAGCGAAGGCGGCUCUCUGGACUGUAACUGACGCUGAGGCACGAAAGCGUGGGGAGCAAACAGGAUUAGAUACCCUGGUAGUCCACGCCGUAAACGAUGAGUACUAGGUGUCGGGGGUUACCCCCCUCGGUGCCGCAGCUAACGCAUUAAGUACUCCGCCUGG
rnacentral:rRNA from 1 species